rnacentral:misc_RNA from 1 species
GAAGGCUGUAAAACCACUGAAUAUGAUGCUCAAGGUCAAGGUGUAAUCCAUUUGUGUGCUAUUCUUGGAUAUACUUGGGCUGUUUAUUUAUUUUCAUGGUCAGGCUUGUCAUUGGAUUUUCGAGAUAAACAUGGAUGGACAGCUCUUCAUUGGGCAGCAUAUUUUGGAAGGGAGAAAAUGGUUGCAGUUCUCUUAUCUGCAGGGGCAAAGCCAAACUUGGU